GCGGCAAAUAAGGAUGGCAUGAUGGGUCUGUGUAUCCAAGGCAGCAGUGUCCUGGGAGAAGGAAAGUCAUGUUGGAAAGGGGAAAAUUCUCAUUGCCACGUGCAUCAGAGAAUCCUAUGACUCACAAAUGGCACGGCCAUACCGAACUGUAGCUGUUUUGUUUUACUACCCACUCUGCUCCCAUUUGGCUGCCACCACUUAGUUUCAUUGCCUGCCGAGCCCCUUGGUUUUCGUUCCUAGACUCACAGGUGGGGAUACGUUAUCCUGCUUGCCAAGUUUUGGAGGCAUGCUCUGGUCUCCAAGCGUCCACAGUCCAUUUGGCAGAAAGUUAGUUAUUCAGGGCUUUUCCAUCCUGCUGCUGAACAUCUUUUGUCUCACCUCCAAGCUCCCUCUUCCUACUUUUCCUGCAAUGCUUCCUCUGGUCCACCUACCCUGCUUGGUAUCAGGGCCCUCUGAGAAUCUUAUCACUAGUCGACCAGGCAGUGUGGUAUUCGUGCAUAUAAACUAAUGAAUGAUUCUCAGACAAAAGUCUUACCUUUAACCAGGACUUCUUACCAUUUGGGUACAUUCUAUAUGUUGCCUUAGCUUGGGCUUCUUGGGUGCUGUUCUUGGUAGGUGAACUUUAUCAGUUUCAAUACACCAACAUUUGUAAGUGGCAGUACUUGCUUAAGUAUUUGUGAAUUUAGCUUAAGUUUUUUUUUUAAUUACAAGAGUCACAGUUUUAAAUCUCUUUAUCUCAGACUUUUCGUGUAGCCACCUUUACCAGGAGGGCAUUGAAGAUCAGCAAAAUUCUCUCGCUGAUAAAUCCUGAGGUUCAAUCUUGGAGAUGAUUUAUCCUCACUUUUCCAGAUCAAAGCUAAGAUCAGCAGACUUUUCUAGACCUAAUUCAUAGGUUGACCCUUUCUGACUGGAUUCUUUUUCAGUCCAUUUAAAAUAUGUGUUUAAAGUCCAAAGAUGGCAAUAUUUUUGUUUUUCAAAAGGAAGGAGGUAACAAGAAAAGGAGGAAUCCUUUGUGUUUUGUGCUAUAGCUCAGUUAAGAAUCUGUAGGAGUUCCCAUCAUGGCUUAGUAGUUAAUGAAUCUGACUAGGAACCAUGAGGUUAUGGGUUCAGUCCUUGGCCUCGCUCAGUGGGUUAAGGAUCUGGCGUUGCCGUGAGCUGUGGUGUAGGUCACAGACAUGGCUCGGGUCUGGCGUUGCUAUGGCUCUGGCAUAGGCUGGUGGCUACAGCUCCGAUUAGACCCCUAGCCUGGGAACCUCCAUAUGCCGCAGGUGUGGCCCUAGAAAAGACAAAAAAGAAAAAGAAAAAGAAACUGUGGAGUUCCUUUGGUGGUGCAGCAUGUUAAGUUCCUGGCAUUGUCACUGCUGAGGCACAGGUUUGAUCCCCAGCCCUGGAAUUUCUGCAUACUGUGGGUGUGGCCAAAAAAAAAAAAAAAAUCCGUGGGAAUUAGCCUGCUAACUCAUUCAUUUGGGCCUUAGUAAAUGUUCUCAGGAUGAUAUUAGAUUGAAAUAAGGUCUGUAUUUGAGAAGUUAGGACUUUCAUGCCCGCUCUGUUUUUGCGAUUGUUGAAAUUGCAGGGUUUUCCCAGGCACAUCUCUGCCAAAGAAUGUGACAGUCAAGGUCCUGGGAUCAUGUUCUCGUCCCUCAAUCUUUGUAGUGUAUUCGUCUUAUCAGGUCUUAUCUCUCGAUCUGCAGGUUCACGUCUGGUCUUCAGGUGUUUCCAAAGGUGCUUCUCUGAUACCUUCUUCCACUUCGCAAAAGCUCUUUGAAUCCAGAUUUGUACAUCAAAUAACUUUGCUUUGAAAUCUCCAGGCUGCAGUCUGGUCCCUCAGAAGCCACAGCUGUAGUUUGUUUCCCUAACAUCUUGAGGAGCCGUGGUUGGUACCCACUGUUUACACUGCCUCGUCUGUCUCCUUGUGCUUCCUUGGCUGGGCUGCUGUCAGGCGGCACCACAGAACUCUCAGCGCGGUUUAAGUCCUUUCGCAUUUCACGUGCUUAAGUUUGCACCACCUUGAGAGGUGGAAUUUGCUGCAGCACAGCUUUCCUUUGGGUCCCUGACCUUUGUUUCAUGGAAAUAGUGUUGUCUCAACAUGUGUGUCCAUCUUAGGAUAUUCAGGGGAGGUUUAGCAACACAGAACUUUUCCUCUACCCUUCGGCAUUCUUCUGCGUGGUCUAAGAAUUCAGUUGACGUGAGGCAGAUUAACGGGAGCAAAUCACACAAGCAUCGAAUGGACGUGUACCCGUGGGAAAGGGCGAGUGAAACGGAGCACCUCGCCAAAAUGCUGACGCCCUCACCUGAAAUGACCAGAGGAGAGGAAAGACGUGGAGACGGAAAGGCAAAUGUUUGGUAAACAAAUGUUUGCUGGGUCCUAGAGAGGCCGAGGGACACAGGGAGGGCUCUGAUCUUCAGGCCCUUCAAGGUCCCCCCUCCACACCCAGCCCAGAUCCUCUGCAGAGGCCACUGGUGAGAACUCUCUUCCGGCAGCAGGCCCUCUGUCUGAGUUCUUUUAGGCAGUUAGCGGGAAGGUCAACGUUUCUUCCUGAGUCUUUUUGGGCCUUGACGGUUUUCAGUUCGAAAUAAUCCACCCACCAAAGAGACAUUUUGGGGAGGUAAAUUUUGCUUCCCUACCCUCUCUGAUUUUUCACACCUGCUGUUUUGUGCUUCUUCUCUUGACCCAACUAGCGUGUAAUGAGAUAGGAGACACACUGGGUUUCUGGCAGUUGAUGGAAGUUUUGCGUGUGCACUUUUGAGCAGCACACAGCUAGCUGCAUGGUUUACCACUGGAGACCAAAGCUAACACUUCAUUCUCACAAGAUACAGACAAUUUCAGUGUACCCAUAGCAUGUCCUUUAUCAUUUUUUUUCUUUCAAGUUCAAAGCAACAACUUUUGCACUGAGUCCUGUUUGAAGGCAAACUAUAUACUAUGGACUUUUAUAAACAUUUGAGUGCAGACUGUAAUAAGGAAAAACUCCACUUUGAGACUCAAAAAUUUAAUUCAGUUGUAAGUUCUUGAAAGACUGGUGAGCAUGGCUCUUUCUGCUUCAGUUUCUACUUUUCAUUAGUUUGAGAAGCAGCCGGUACUUGUUGCAGGAGUAAUUGAGCAGGGGAGGGAGCAGAGGCCAGAGGAAGCAGCGACAUCAUUUAGUUCCUUCAGUGGCCUCACAACUGUUUUUAGCCAUGUGAACUGUCAGAACAUCAGAGUGCACCCGUGUUCAAACAUAAACACCCCAACUCUCCUCAAAGAUAAAUAGAAAUUUACAAACAUUAUGCCUUUGUGGUUGUUAAGAAUGGCCUCACUGUUCCCUUUCAACACAUAGAAAUUUGGGAAUUGAAGGCGUGUCUCUGCUCAUCAGUUUUCCAUCUUAAUCAGGGUUGCCACAUUGCACAAAGACACACCAAGGACAGUUUUAGAGGAUAAAUAUGUUCCCUGAAGCACUUGGAAAAAUAUUACAGGGGACAUAUUUUAUACUAAAACACUAUUUUCUAUAUUUUUUUUGUGUGUGUGGAAUUCAAAUGUAUUUUUUCUGGCAGCCUUAAUCUUUUUUUUCUUUUUCUUUUUCUUUUUUUUUUUCUGCCAUGCCUGUGGCAUGGGGUAGUUCCCAGGCCAGGGAUCAAACCUGCAUGACAGCAGCAGCAAUACCAGAUCCUUAACCAGCUAGGCCACCAGGGAACUCCUGGCCACCUUAAUCGUAAUGUAACCAAGCAAUUCAGUCAAACCCAUCUCCAUUCCCCUUUCUCCUUGCCACUCUCUGAUUCUGGACCUCUGAAUGAAGAAAGGACUCCUCAGGAAUUCCCGCUGUAGGAUCGGCAGCGUCUUGGGAGCACUGGGACAUGGGUUCGAUCCCUGGCCCAGCAUAGUGGCCUAGGAUGCCAAGUUGCCACAGCUGUGGCUUAGGUCACAACUGCACCUUGGAUCUCAUCCCUGGCCCAGGAGCUUCAUAUGCUGUGGGCGGCCAAAAAAGAAAAAAAAAAAAAAAAA
ensembl:lncRNA